rnacentral:tRNA from 1 species
UCCUGGUGGCUCAGACAGUAAAGAAUCUGCCUGCCAUGCAGGAGACCCGGGUUCGAUCCCUGGGUCAGGAA